AGAGUUUGAUUAUGGCUCAGGAUGAACGCUGGCGGCGUGCUUAACACAUGCAAGUCGAACGGAGCCUAGCGAGUGCUUGCACUUGCGAAAGCUUAGUGGCGGACGGGUGAGUAACGCGUGGGUAACCUGCCCUAUACUGGGGGAUAACAGUCGGAAACGACUGCUAAUACCGCAUAAGCCUACGGAACCGCAUGAUUCAGUAGGAAAAACUCCGGUGGUAUAGGAUGGACCCGCGUCUGAUUAGCUAGUUGGUGAGGUAACGGCCCACCAAGGCGACGAUCAGUAGCCGGCCUGAGAGGGUGAACGGCCACAUUGGGACUGAGACACGGCCCAAACUCCUACGGGAGGCAGCAGUGGGGAAUAUUGCACAAUGGGGGAAACCCUGAUGCAGCCGACGCCGCGUGAGUGAUGAAGUAUUUCGGUAUGUAAAGCUCUAUCAGCAGGGAAGAAAAUGACGGUACCUGACUAAGAAGCACCGGCUAAAUACGUGCCAGCCGCGGC
rnacentral:rRNA from 1 species